UUAAGAUCUAAGACACUAAUUUAAUCCAUUCCAUGUUAUUCCAAACAUGUAAUCAUGACAUACUUAUUUCUUGACAAGGUUUGAUUUCCGUAUACCACCAAAACUCAUAACCUAACACGCCUUGAUCUAUUAAGACAAACAAGAUAUAGUUUAUGUGCCCACCUGAAAAUGAUGUGUUUGACAGAGUGAAUCUGUAUUGAUACGGAGCAAUGGCAUCAGUCAUUUCUUUCUUUCUCUCUUUCUCUCUGUUACUAUUUCUUUAACUGCGUCUGCAAUACUCCAAUCUCCUCCUUUUUUCGGUGACUUGCAAAAAUUCAGAUAUAUACAAUUAAUCGUUAGUUUCGAAGUUCUUUCAAUGUUAUAGCCAAAAGGUUAUACCUAUAGGAAGUGCGAUCGAUGACCGAAAAAGAGAAGAGGGGACGAAAGAGAACCAAACUCGAACCCACGGUGUACCAAAUCAUGAUCAUCACCAAAACAAACGAAUUCGGCAACAUGGUGAUCUCGGAUAUACCGGAUCGUAAGCAUUCCAAGAGUUCCAGGAGCUAAACCCAGAAAGGGUACCGAAGAACUACAAAAUCCCAGGCGGCGGUGAACAAGCGCAAACCACAGAUUGGAGCAGCUUUCACGACGAAGUGCUGCCAAUCCCCAUCUCUCUCCCUCGCCAAAGAUGCGACGAAACGAAAACCAAGAUCCACCCGAUCUCACUUCCCGACAACGCUCAAAGAAACCAAAACGAAUCGACCAACCACCACGCAUCAAGAAUCAAGAAACCACAACGCACAAGGAAACCAAAAAAUAAUCGAGAAGAAAGGGUCGAACCUGGGCGCUCCGACCCAGCUUCGACAAGGCACGAGAGUGUCCAACCUUCCUCCGGCAUCGAUCUUGGUUUUGGCUGGAUCCGGGUCCCGGGUGCCAUUGAAGGAGACACCCAUCGGCCCCCGCUUCCCUCCUCCUCCUCCUCCUCCGCCUUCUCUACCAGAACUAUGGAUCUACGCUGCGACGAUCGAAGACCUACACGCCCCGCUUGGGAUCCCAUCGGUCUCCCUUUCGACUCCCAAUUCGUCGUCUCACUUCUCUCCGUCCCAACCGCCUCGGUCACUUCUUUGGGUUGGUUUCACUUACUUAUAUCUGUAAACGUUUAAAAAAUAACAUAUUUGCCAUUGCAAAUACGACGAUUUUUAAAGUAAUUACUCAUAUUUUUAAUUUUAAAUUAAUAUAUUUAUUUUACUUCUAUCCAAACAGUAUCGCUGAUUUAAAAAUAUAUCCAAACUAUCGUUUAUUUACAG
rnacentral:lncRNA from 1 species